UUCUUUCUGGUCCCUCCCUCUUUGCCAGUGGAAUGCAGGGUUUCCUGGCCCUGAACCCACACAGCUGGAACCAACUCAUUACACAACUCUAAAUUCAGAGAAAUCUGCUAGAUAGCCAGCAAACUACCCCACCCUGGCCUCAGUGGAACCCAAGCUGAAAGGCUCAAGGGAACAUGACAAUCCUCUUCAAGUCCCGGAAAAGCUGCCAUGGAGUCUGCUUGGUCCAGGAGGGGAAAACCAAGAACAACUUCAUCUUUGUAACAUCUCUCCACUAUUUCUCCUUCUCUCCUCUAAUACUGUCGCCACCUGGUGUGGGCCCUCAUCUCCUCACUUGUGGACCUUUGCCAUAUCCUGCUGGAGAGGAUCAUGACAUUGGGAAGAUGCUGCCAUGACUUGCAAGUGAAUUGGAUUUAAGUGAGGGAGGAUUUACAGAGUCACCAGCCUCACUUUCUUCUCUGGAGCCAUCAAGGUCCAGUGGCCAGACAUAAAUCAUGACAACUUGAGAUGAUCCAGGAUGCAUUGAGAGACCUUGGCCUUUUUAAGCUAAGGUCUUUCAGAGUUCUCACUUUGACUGGGGCAAAGCCCAUUCAGUGAUUAGGCAGGCCCAAGUAUUGCCAUAUUGAAGGGUUUAUAAAGUGCUAGAAAUACUGUUGCUGAAUAUACAUAAGACAGAAGCUAAAAAGUACAACCCAGUCUUCUACAAUUAAGAAAAAAAGACCCCAGCUUCCCCCAUCCUCAUCCCAUUUCUGUAAGCCAAGAGCAAGGUGGCCAGAUUCCUUCCCCGAGCCAACCCUCCCUCCUGGCCCCACAGCUGCUGCUGAAUCUGCAGCAUACCUCUGCUCCAGAGCCCCGAAUCCUCACCCUUCUUAGCUGAACAUCUUCAUCUCCUACCAAUGACACUGUAUUUGAACCCAGAAGAUCUGGAUUUGAAUCCUGCUUCUACCACUUAGAAUCUUCAUAUAGUGUACUGGAAAGAAGGCUUGAUUAGGAGUCAAAGUAGUCAAAUAGUGUGACUUUGAGCAAAUCACUUAACUUCUAUGGGCCUCAGUUUCCUUGUCUGUAAAAUGAAGGGAUUGUACUAAAUGAUGUAUGAGGUCAUUUCCAUCUCCAAAUCUAUGAUGCUAUAUUAUGAUCUUGGGCAAAUUGUAUGAUCCUUUUAAAUCUCAGUUACUCCAUCAGUAAAAUGGAGAUAAUAAAGCUCAUACUACUUAA